ACAGAAUGGAUUCACCCACCUGUCAUUCAAAUUUACUUCCCUUUUCCUAGUAGCAUAGGAAGUACAGGGCUGUGUCCCACCGUGUUCAGUCCCUUUCCACAAUGUUGAAGUUAAAGGUGAGCCUUGAGUCUGCACUUGCAUGUUACUGUGACUUCUCAGAGUACUGUGGACAAUGAUUGAAAAGAUAACCCAUGCAAGAAACAAUU
ensembl:snoRNA SNORA73 Small nucleolar RNA SNORA73 family